rnacentral:rRNA from 1 species
UACGGAGUGUGCAAGCGUUACUCGGAAUCACUGGGCUUAAAGGGCGCGUAGGCGGACUCGCCAGUCUGUGGUGAAAGCCCCCGGCUUAACCGGGGAAGUGCCAUGGAUACUGCGAGUCUGGAGGAGGGUAGGGGCAUCUGGAACGCUGGGUGGAGCGGUGAAAUGCGUUGAUAUCCAGCGGAACUCCGGUGGCGAAGGCGAGGUGCUGGACCCUUUCUGACGCUGAUGCGCGAAAGCCAGGGGAGCAAACGGG